AUUGAACGCUGGCGGCAGGCCUAACACAUGCAAGUCGAACGAGUGGCGGACGGGUGAGGAAUACAUCGGAAUCUACUCUGUCGUGGGGGAUAACGAAGGGAAACUGACGCUAAUACCGCAUAACAUCGGAUGUGCCGAUGUUGGAUUAGCUAGUGGGGGGGGUAAAGGCUCACCAAGGCGACGAUCCGUAGCUGGUCUGAGAGGAUGAUCAGCCACACUGGAACUGAGACACGGUCCAGACUCCUACGGGAGGCAGCAGUGGGGAAUAUUGGACAAUGGGCGCAAGCCUGAUCCAGCCAUACCGCGUGGAUGAAGAAGGCCUUCGGGUUGUAAAGCCCUUUUGUUGGGAAAGCGGUACCCAAAGAAUAAGCACCGGCUAACUUCGUGCCAGCAGCCGCGGUAAUAC
rnacentral:rRNA from 1 species